UGCGUAGGCGGUUUUGUAAGUUGGAUGUUAAAUCUGCGGGCUCAACUCGUAGGCUGCAUCCAAUACUGCAAGACUUGAGAAUGGAAGAGGCAGACGGAAUUCCUAGUGGAGCGGUAAAAUGCGUAGAUAUUAGGAGGAACACCAAUGGCGAAGGCAGUCUGCUGGGCCAUUUCUGACGCUAAGGCACGAAAGCGUGGGUAGCGAUCG
rnacentral:rRNA from 1 species